rnacentral:rRNA from 1 species
UACGAAGGGGGCUAGCGUUGUUCGGAUUUACUGGGCGUAAAGCGCACGUAGGCGGAUCGUUAAGUCGGGGGUGAAAUCCUGGAGCUCAACUCCAGAACUGCCUUCGAUACUGGCGAUCUCGAGUCCGGAAGAGGUGAGUGGAACUCCGUAGUGUAGAGGUGGAAUUCGUAGAUAUCAGGAGGAACACCAAUGGCGAAGGCAGCUCGCUGGGACGGUACUGACGCUGAGACGCGAAAGCGUGGGGAGCAAACAGG